UACGGAGGGGGCCAGCGUUGUUCGGAAUUAUUGGGCGUAAAGGGCGCGUAGGCGGUCGGGUAAGUCUGACGUGAAAUCCCUUGGCUCAACCAAGGAACUGCGUCUUAAACUGCCCGGCUUGAGUCCGGGAGAGGGUAGUGGAAUUCCCAGUGUAGCGGUGAAAUGCGUAGAUAUUGGGAGGAACACCGGUGGCGAAGGCGGCUACCUGGACCGGUACUGACGCUGAGGCGCGAAAGCGUGGGGAGCAAACAGG
rnacentral:rRNA from 1 species